rnacentral:rRNA from 1 species
AUUGAACGCUGGCGGCAGGCCUAACACAUGCAAGUCGAACGAGUGGCGGACGGGUGAGUAAUGUCUGGGAAACUGCCUGAUGGAGGGGGAUAACUACUGGAAACGGUAGAUAAUACCGCAUACCAUCGGAUGUGCCCAGAUGGGAUUAGCUUGUUGGUGGGGUAACGGCUCACCAAGGCGACGAUCCCUAGCUGGUCUGAGAGGAUGACCAGCCCCGCUGGAACUGGGACACGGUCCAGACUCCAAGGGGGGGCAGCAGUGAGGAAUAUUGCACAAUGGGCGCAGGCCUGAUGCGGCCAUGCCGCGUAUAUGAGAAGGGCCUUCGGGUUGUAAGGUACUUUCAGCGGGGAGGCGUUACCCGCAGAAGAAGCACCGGCUAACUCCGUGCCAGCCGCCGCGGUAAUAC